AGGAAGGCCUGGGGCUUUAGUCCUCAAACUUGGUUCAUAAUAAGCUCAUUCCAAUUUUGAUUUAUAGAAUGACUAUGGGUUAUCUGGAUCAACACCAUCCUGAGCUAAGGAAUGAGGUACAGGCCCGGGGCUUCCACGGGGAGGAGGGCAACUCACAGGAAGGUGAGAAGAGCAGAUAUCUGGUAAUCAGGCAUUUGUCCUCUAUGCAGAAAACCAAGGUCAGAAAUACAUAGAAUUGAAGUCGAGAAAAUGCUUUUGUUAUAAGCACCCCCAAGGAUGUGGUGUUCCUGUCACCUGUGCUUGGCACCCUUCCUCAUCCAAGUGCCACCACCUCAGAGGCUUUCCAAGGCUGUGUCCUUCUGCCUGCAGCAAAUGAGCACCCCGACUCUUAGGUUUUGGAAAUUGUUCUGGACUGAACUGUGUCCCUCCAAAAUUCACAUGUUGAAAUACCUCAGAAAGUGACUGUAUUUGGAGACGUGGCCUUUAAAGAGGUAAUUAAGGUAAAAUGAGUUCAUAUGGGUGGAUCCUGAUCCAAUGGGGUGAAUUUAUCAGAAGAGAUUAGGUCACAGACAGGCGUAGAGGGAGAGCACGUGAAGACAGAGGGAGGAGGUGGUCGGCUGUGAGCCAAGGAGAGAGGCCUCAGCCGCCCCGUCUGUGCGUCUUGUCAUGGGGGCCUGAGCUGGCGAAGAGCAAACUCUCCCCGUGCACAGGGUGCCUUGUGAGUCAAGUCCUUCUCUCCCCAGAGGCU
rnacentral:lncRNA from 1 species